rnacentral:rRNA from 1 species
GACGAACGCUGGCGGCGUGCUUAACACAUGCAAGUCGAACGGAAAGGCCCUGCUUGCAGGGUACUCGAGUGGCGAACGGGUGGGUAACACGUGGGUGAUCUGCCCUGCACUUCGGGAUAAGCCCGGGAAACUGGGUCUAAUACCGGAUAGGAGCCAUUUUUAGUGUGAUGGUUGGAAAGUUUUUUCGGUGUAGGAUGAGCUCGCGGCCUAUCAGCUUGUUGGUGGGGUAAUGGCCUACCAAGGCGGCGACGGGUAGCCGGCCUGAGAGGGUGGACGGCCACAUUGGGACUGAGAUACGGCCCAGACUCCUACGGGAGGCAGCAGUGGGGAAUAUUGCACAAUGGGCGCAAGCCUGAUGCAGCGACGCCGCGUGGGGGAUGACGGCCUUCGGGUUGUAAACUCCUUUCGCUAGGGACGAAGCUUUUUGUGACGGUACCUAGAUAAGAAGCACCGGCUAACUACGUG